rnacentral:rRNA from 1 species
AGAGUUUGAUCCUGGCUCAGGAUGAACGCUAACGGCAGGCUUAAUACAUGCAAGUCGAGGGGCAGCGGGUGUAGCAAUACAUGCCGGCGACCGGCGCACGGGUGCGUAACGCGUAUGUAACCUACCUUUAACUGGAGGAUAGCCCGAGAAAUCGGGAUUAAUACUCCAUAAAAUUAUGAGAAGGCAUCUUUUUAUAAUUAAAGCUCCGGCGGUUUUAGAUGGGCAUGCGUGACAUUAGCUAGUUGGUGAGGUAACGGCUCACCAAGGCUCCGAUGUCUAGGGGUUCUGAGAGGAUUAACCCCCACACUGGUACUGAGACACGGACCAGACUCCUACGGGAGGCAGCAGUAAGGAAUAUUGGGCAAUGGACGCAAGUCUGACCCAGCCAUGCCGCGUGAAGGAUGACAGCCCUAUGGGUUGUAAACUUCUUUUGUACGGGAAAAAACCUUCGAACGUGUUCGAAGCUGAUGGUACCGUAAGAAUAAGCAUCGGCUAACUCCGUG